CUGGCGGCGUGCCUAAUACAUGCAAGUCGAGCGAGCGGAACCAACAGAUUUACUUCGGUAAUGACGUGGAAAGCGAGGCGGCGGAUGGGUGAGUAACACGUGGGGAACCUGCCCCUAAGUCUGGGAUACCAUUUGGAAACAGGUGCUAAUACCGGAUAAUAAAGCAGAUCGCAUGAUCAGCUUUUGAAAGGCGGCGUAAGCUGUCGCUAAGGGAUGGCCCCGCGGUGCAUUAGCUAGUUGGUAAGGUAACGGCUUACCAAGGCGACGAUGCAUAGCCGAGUUGAGAGACUGAUCGGCCACAUUGGGACUGAGACACGGCCCAAACUCCUACGGGAGGCAGCAGUAGGGAAUCUUCCACAAUGGACGCAAGUCUGAUGGAGCAACGCCGCGUGAGUGAAGAAGGUUUUCGGAUCGUAAAGCUCUGUUGUUGGUGAAGAAGGAUAGAGGUAGUAACUGGCCUUUAUUUGACGGUAAUCAACCAGAAAGUCACGGCUAACUACGUG
rnacentral:rRNA from 1 species